rnacentral:rRNA from 1 species
GACAGAGGGUGCGAACGUUGUUCGGAAUUACUGGGCGUAAAGCGCAUGUAGGCGGCCAAGCAGGUCGGAUGUGAAAUCCCUCGGCUCAACCAAGGAAGUGCAUUCGAAACCGCAUGGCUAGAGUCCCGGAGAGGAAGGUGGAAUUCUCGGUGUAGAGGUGAAAUUCGUAGAUAUCGAGAGGAACACCGGUGGCGAAGGCGGCCUUCUGGACGAGGACUGACGCUGAGAUGCGAAAGCGUGGGGAGCAAACAGG